rnacentral:rRNA from 1 species
AGUAAAUAGAUACCCAGGUAGUCCACGCCGUAAACGAUGUCGACUUGGAGGUUGUGCCCUUGAGGCGUGGCUUCCGGAGCUAAACGCGUUAAGUCGACCGCCUGGGGAGUACGGCCGCAAGGUUAAAACUCAAAUGAAUUGACGGGGGCCCGCACAAGCGGUGGAGCAUGUGGUUUAAUUCGAUGCAACGCGAAGAACCUUACCUACUCUUGACAUCCAGAGAGCUUUCCAGAGAUGGAUUGGUGCCUUCGGGAACUCUGAGACAGGUGCUGCAUGGCUGUCGUCAGCUCGUGUUGUGAAAUGUUGGGUUAAGUCCCGCAACGAGCGCAACCCUUAUCUUUUGUUGCCAGCGGUUAGGCCGGGAACUCAAAGGAGACUGCCAGUGAUAAACUGGAGGAAGGUGGGGAUGACGUCAAGUCAUCAUGGCCCUUACGAGUAGGGCUACACACGUGCUACAAUGGCGCAUACAAAGAGAAGCGACCUCGCGAGAGCAAGCGGACCUCAUAAAGUGCGUCGUAGUCCGG